UAAUAAAUUCCCAUUUUUAUUUCUUCCUAUAAUUACUUCUCUAUAUUCAUCUCAUCAUCAUUCUACACUUUUCAGUUUUUUCUCCUCUCCCCCCUUCUUUCUUUCUUUUAUGGCACACGCGGAAGUUUGAAUGUGUAGAGGAUACAUACAUACAUACACAAAUAUAUAUAAUAUAGUAUAGUUAGUUGAGUGGGCUCUUUAGAGGGAAAUGGAAAAGGAGAAAUUCAUGGUCGCAAGCAACCAUAUGAUUGCAAGCAAUUAAGGUUUCAGUUACUUGGUUGUGGUGUUUGACUGUUCGGUUUCUUGCAAAACACUGAAAGGUUUUCGUGGGUUUCUGUACAAUGGAUAAAUUUGAUGCAGUGAAAAAAGUGCAUGAGAGAAUCUUGAAAUUGGAACCAGAAAGUGUAACAAUGAAGAUUAUAGGGUAUAUGUACUUGAGGGACUACCCUGACCAGGAAAUCAUUAGGUUGGCUAUGGGGCCUGAUACUUUGAUCUAUGAACUGAUACACAAGGCAAAAACUGCACUUAAAUUGCCCUCAACCUCAUGUCUUUCGCCCCCGAUUUCGCCUUCUAUGAACCAAGUCCCCAUUUCAGACCCUUCCUUUAGGCUACCCUCGAUUGCGCCCCCAUUGGCACGCACCUUCCCGUCUCCGGCUUCAUUUCGUGUGACGGCUCCGUUUUGGGAGCCUCCGGUGCCCGAGCAGCAGCAGCAGAUGGUCUACAAUUCUGAGUUUUCGCAUUUGCCCCAUGAUGAUUAUGGACCCCACAAGCCCCAGCAGCAGCUGGGGCCAUUUGAGGAAUCGCCUAAUUCUGGGACCUUUGAUUUCUCGAGUGAUUUUGUUUACCCGGAGCCUGGGUUUAGUGUGAGGGGGCGCAGGAAUUCUCCGGCUGUUCUCGAGUUUCCGCCCAAGGCCUGUCAUUAUUUCAGCAAAGGGUUCUGCAAGCAUGGCAGUAACUGUAGGUAUUUACAUGGACACCCCUUCCCGGACAACUACCCGAGGGGGAUGUAUGGCUCUAAUGCGUUCGAUAAUGGUAACGAUGAUCAAGUUUUCUCCCCCGGGUCCCUCGAGAAAUUAGAGCUCGAGAUAACAGAGCUCUUGAAAUCCAGAAGAGGCAGCCCGGUUUCAAUCGCGUCUCUGCCUAUGAUGUACUAUGAGAAAUAUGGAAGAACCCUUCAGGCUGAAGGGUACCUAACUGAGAGCCAGAGACACGGUAAAGCUGGCUAUAAUUUGACUAAACUUCUUGCUCGGUUGAAGAACAGUAUUCGUUUGAUUGACAGGCCUCACGGGCAGCAUUCUGUAAUACUGGCUGAAGAUGCGCCCAAGUACAUUGAAUUCCGGGGUGAAAGGAAUGAUCCCGGUCCUAUUGUCAGUGGCUCUCGCCAAAUAUAUCUCACUUUCCCCGCGGAGAGCACUUUUACGGAGGAAGAUGUCUCCAAUUACUUCAAUGCCUUCGGGCCUGUUCAGGAUGUGAGAAUUCCUUGCCAGCAGAAACGGAUGUUUGGCUUUGUUACUUUUGCAAGUUCUGAUACUGUGAAGACGGUUUUGCACAAGGGAAACCCGCAUUUUGUGUGUGGGGCUCGUGUUCUUGUGAAACCAUAUAGAGAAAAGUCGAAGCCUAUUGAAAGGAAAUUUCAAGACAAAAUUGAUCCAUCAAUGAAUUACGGCUCUCACAACGAUUUUGAAUCUGAGAAUCAAUCAAGAUUGGAUUCCAAAUUUCUAAGGAGAUUCGAGGAACAACAUGCUCUCGAACUUGAGAUAAGGCAACUCUCGCAGCUGCAGUUAGCACGAAAGCCUCUGUUGUCUAAUCAUUCCUUCUUUGGCAAUUCCAUGGACGAUCUGAAAAUGUCUGAAGAGUAUUCCAAGCUCACAUCUGCCGAUGAUUUCUACCAGUUGGAUGGUCCAAGCGGCGGCUCCUCAAGUGAUGAUAAUAACCAAAUAUAUUCAGGCACAAAAUACCAUGAUCACGACAGGAAUUAAUCUCCCGGACAGCCCCUUUGCGUCUGCGUUACCGACCAGCAUCUCUGCAGUUAUGUAGGCCAAAUGACACAUAACAAGUCGUUCGUUCGUCUGAUAGGUAAGACUAGUUGAAAAGGCAGCCAUCUGAUCUUACGUUUGACACAAGAUACAGAACUAUUUUCCCUGUGAAGUUCUCGGUUUGCGAGUUUUAGAGGUUUCCCCCCUGCAAAGCAAGUACAUACGGCUAAAGAAGAAUGUGAGGCUUAUCUUCCCGCCUUUUACCUGGGUGAGAAGAAUACAUAGGAAAGAACAUGAUAACAGAAAGGUUUUUUUUUUCUUUGGUAUGUUAGAGACAGCAUAAAAGAAGGAUGUCUUUUGUUUUUCUUUCGAAACAAAAAAUCUUUAGAGAAGAAUGUACAGUAGUGAUGAAAGAAAGUAGUGGUUACAUAUGGCAAUGGUUCAGAGAUAGAGAAAUAUAUGUCUCUGUAACACCGAAAAAAUCUUUAGGUGCUGAAUAACUCACUGUUUAACAUGAAUGGUAGUGCAUUUUUUGCUGCUAGAUGUUGUAUUAGUUCAAACGUUGGACAGUGACUUUGUUUGUGCUGUUUGGUUACAUUUGCAGCAGCCUUUUUUGUGUUUUGUCAUUUGUUGUAGAAACAGCUGCAAUUUAUCAUAUAGACAAAUGUACUGC